rnacentral:rRNA from 1 species
UACGAAGGUCCCAAGCGUUGUUCGGAAUCACUGGGCGUAAAGCGUAUGUAGGCGGCGCGGAAAGUCGGAUGUGAAAGCCCAGAGCUCAACUCUGGAACUGCAUUCGAUACUCCCGUGCUAGAGUAAUGGAGGGGUAAGUGGAAUUCUCGGUGUAGCAGUGAAAUGCGUAGAUAUCGAGAGGAACAUCAAUGGCGAAGGCAACUUACUGGACAUUUACUGACGCUCAGAUACGAAGGCUAGGGUAGCGAAAGGG